AUUCAGAAACCCUAAUCUUUUCCAGCCUCCAUCUUCCUUCUUCCAUCAGUCAAACAAAUCAAAUGAAAUGGUAGUUUUUCUCAUCUUCAUCUUCUAACAAAUGGAUCGUAUUUGUCUUCUUUCUCACGCAGCAACAAAUGACAACCUAAUUUCUGCUGAACCCUAAAACCCACCAUCGCAAAUUUGCUUUGUCUGUUCUUGAUCAAUUCCUCUUUGAUAAUCGAAGAUAUACAUGUUCAUAAGACUAUGGUUGACUUUAAUUUUGGUUGGUUUUUUGUGGAGUUUAUUAUGAUUAGCGAAGUUGUAUAGAUAUUGAUCGAGACUUGUGUUGAUUUAGGAGAUGAAUUUGAUGAUUAUUGACUUCAGAUUUAGUCCUGAUGAAGAAACAUCAAUGGGAUUAGUUCAGCAAGAAGAAUACGUAUUUGGAUUGUCUUAAUUGGAUUCCAACAGAUCUGGCGGCGGUGUCGGUGGCUAUGACUCUGGGUGAUAUUCUGUUUAUGCGUACGAGCAAGGACCCGAUUCGCAUAGGAGAUAUUUUAUCGUUCACUGUUGAUGUGAGUUUCUUAAUUGAAUUCUUUCUUUUAGUCUUUCAUUUAGUUUAGUAUGUAAGCUUUUAUUGAAGUUAUUAAAGUAUAUUAAAAGUGCUUCGAUCAUCAACUUUGUUUGAAGAUAUUGUUUUGUCCUUUGUUGCAUAAACGUGUAUGACCGGACACGCUAACCAGCUCACACCAGGCCGCCCCAGGCCCAACGUGUGAGACGUAAAUCAGCCUCACUCAAUGGCAAGGCUAUUGGCGCUUAGGAUCGUAAUCGAACCCGCGACCUUUAGCUUUUGGUGCAAAUCUGACGCCCCCUUAACCAUGAUGAAAACGACAGUUGAAGGUUUAGAAGGAUUAGCUAACCAACUACCAUGUGUGAUGAAGUUUGGUGGAUCUUCGGUUGCAUCGGUAGAUAGAAUGAAAGAAGUAGCUGAGCUUAUCUUCAGCUUUCCAGAAGAGAAUCAUGUGAUAGUUUUGUCUGCUAUGGGCAAAACUACGAACAAGCUUAUAGCGGAUAGAGAAAACGCUGCAAGCUGUAUUUCGGAUGUGUCUGAAAUCGAUGAGUCGAGUUUUGUGAAAGAACUGCACUACAGGCUUGGUUUAGACAGAUCAAUCAUUAUAGGCAGGAAGACUAUUGAUUGAUAAAACAAUCCGUGAAGAGUUUACAUGUUUAAGGGCUUUCAAGAAGAGAGAUAAUGAGCUACAAGUUCGGGACGCUGACCUGUGAAAAAGAGAAAAGUUUAACAAAUUUUGUGUUGAACGUGUUGAGCUCAAGCUUUGGAUGUAAGAUGAUAACGAAUUGGAUUAUGAUUCUGAUAAUAGUUUCAUCGCUGUUUGUGGAUUUUGAAUUUACGAUCACGGUCUUCCAGAUUCGUACUCUAAUUCGCAUUGAACCACUCAUGGCCUUCUGCCGUUCUACUCAGAAUCGUCACACAUUUGAGAAGCCAGUUAAAUGUUCUUCGGACAAACAGAGGAAUUUAUGUAAUGUACUUUAUUUGCAUUACUUUUAUUUAUACACUUAUGAUUAAUGUAAUUUAAGUUUGAGUGUUAGUAAUUAGCAGCUUUGAACUAGGGAAAUUAUAAUCUUUUUCCAUUCAUAUAUGUUAAUUCCUUUUGUAUUUCACCUCUUUUCACAAUACACUAGAGAUAGACGGUAGAAUAAUGAAAGGAAUGUGAGUGUUACAAUGCUACAAACUUGAAAAAUUAAUACAGAGGAUUGAAA